rnacentral:rRNA from 1 species
GAUGAACGCUGGCGGCAGGCUUAACACAUGCAAGUCGAACGCGUGUAGCAAUACACGAGUGGCGCUCGGGUGAGUAACGCGUGGAUAUCUGCCUUUUGGUUCGGAAUAACCCCGGGAAACUGGGGCUAAUACCGGAUGGUUCCUUCGGGAUAAAGAUUUAUCGCCAAAAGAUGAGUCCGCGUCCGAUUAGCUAGUUGGUGAGGUAAUGGCUCACCAAGGCGACGAUCGGUAGCUGGUCUGAGAGGACGAUCAGCCACACUGGGGCUGAGACACGGCCCAGACUCCUACGGGAGGCAGCAGUGGGGAAUAUUGGACAAUGGGGGCAACCCUGAUCCAGCCAUGCCGCGUGAGUGAUGAAGGCCUUCGGGUUGUAAAGCUCUUUUGGCGGGGACGAUGAUGACGGUACCCGCAGAAUAAGCCCCGGCUAACUUCGUGCCAGCAGCCGCCGUAA